GACGAACGCUGACAGAAUGCUUAACACAUGCAAGUCAACUGUGGCGGAUGGGGGAGUAACGCGUAAAGAACUUGCCUCUCAGAUAGGGACAACCUUAGGAAACGAAAGACAAAACCUGAAACCGUGAGAGUGCUUUGGGUCCCAUUAGCUCUUUGGAGAGGUAACGGCUCAUCAAGGCGAUGAUGGGUAGCCGGCCUGAGAGGGUGAUCGGCCACAAGGGGACUGAGGCACGGCCCUUACGCCUACGUGAGGCAGCAGUGGGGAAUAUUGGACAAUGUACCAAUGUCUGAUCAAGCAAUUCGGUUUGCACGAUGAAGUUUUCGGAAUGUAGGGUGCUUUCUGUUUGGAAGCGGUACCAACAGAAGAAGUAACGGCUAAAUACGUGCCAGCAGCCGCGGUAAUUC
rnacentral:rRNA from 1 species